GUAGGUGCUCAAUUGAUAUUUCUCAAUUGAAAGUAGGAGUGAAUCAAUCCCUAUGCCUUUAAAGGGUGGGAUGCAGGUGUGCAUGGAGUUAGGAGGCUGAUCAAUGGCUUCCGUCUUUGCCCUCUCCCAUCUGUGAUCUAUUCUAAGGGCCUUCUGGAGGGAGUGCUCAGGCACAGUCACACUGGGUGUUUCUUACCCCAGCCAUCUUGAGCUUGUAGACUGUGGAGGAUUGUAGAGCUUGUAGACUGUAGAUUGGUGCUCCCCUGCUACUGCGACCCCCCCACCCUUGAGGGUGAGGCAGAGUUGAAGGUGAAAAGUCAAUAUGUGGGGCAUGGAACCUUCUAGAAGAGCAGCUGAUGUUGUCUCUCCACUUCUCCAAGAUGAAAUUAUCACUGAAGUGAGUGAAGAAUGUAAUAGAUACGGUGCUCUCUAGAAGUGUCUACAGGAGACCACAUUCCAGACCUCCUCAUUCUCUACCAGCUGGACAUGGUCCAAGGAGAGCUCCAAGGUCAAGUUCCAUGGUGGAUUACCAGGAGGAAGUGUGGAAUUGCCUUGUGGAAGGACACCGUUGAAUGUCUGAUGAGACUGUGAUAUGAGUGAUAUUUUUGAGCCAACGAGAAUGCUUUUGAAGGCUGUUUACCGAUGAGGACUGGAGAGAAAAGAGGGAGCCUGGUGGACAGAAGCACAAAGAGCAUUUACGAUGCUGAGCCAUCUCUGAAGAUAGAAAGAAGCUUCCGUCUUCCCGUCUUGCAGAGAAUUGUUUUCCAGGAAAUUAAUUUUUUAGUUCUUCUUCCCUUUUGUCUCUCCACUUUCCAACUGAUCUUCAAAACAUAAUUGCAAACCAUAAGGAACUUGGAAAGGCUGAGCAGAAAGGAGGGGGUGCAGCAUGAAGCAACAUAUCUCAAAUCAGAACCAACUCACGGAGGCUGGCCCCCAAAGUUGUCACUGCUGCAGCCUACUGCAAUGUAGUCGGGUCAGGUGGAGUUCCCCAACUGGACAAAGAGCACCAUGAACAUUGACUGGCAAUACUUCAGAGGCCUUUUGGUGAUUGUUAGACUGGGCAGGACAGGAGGUGACACUGUGCAAUGAUUGAAAAAGAGACUCUGAAAAGAUAGAGAAAGGAGAAGGAACUGGUGGUUUUGAAAUAGAGCUGUGGAUAGAGGGGGUCAGGGGAAGAAGAGGAUGGAGGACAUUCAUCUUCAGAAGAAAGCAUCAGGGAUCCUGGCUCUUGAAGAGAGGAAGGGAGACAGGGUAGGUGCUGGUUGCAUGGGGAAAGAUGACAGAGCAUGGAUAUGAGACCCAAGCACCCCCAAUAACUGGGAUUGGACAUUUCUAGUCAGUCUGCCUAUGAGGAGAGUGAUAAAGCCUGGUGGGGAUAUUUGAUGGAUGAACCAAGGAAGAAGUAUGUGAGUUCUAUUUGAAGCACUUGUGCAUAUUAAUUCGUGAAUUCUCCUAACAACCAUCUGAGCUGCACACUGUUAGAAUCAUCCACAUGUGCCCGAAGCUGUGCCCAGAGUCACGCAGGUAGAUGGUAACCAGGUGCAUUCGUUUGCCAGGGCUGCUGUGACAAAGUACCAUAAACUAAGUGGCUUAAACAACAGAAAUGUAUCGUCUCACAGUUCUGGAGGCCGGACAUCCAAGAUCACGGUGCUGGUAGGGUUGCUUCCUUCUGAGGGCUGUCGGGGAGAAUUUGUUCCACGCCACUCUCUGAGCUUCUGGCAGUCUUUGGUAUUCCUUGGCUUGUGGAAUCAAUACUUCGAUCUCUGCCUUCAUUUUCACAGGUGGAGGUCAAGGAAUCAUUUCUAAAGUGACUCUAAAAAAGGACAGGAGACACAGAGAGGCCAUUUCAGAGGGUAAGGUGAGUCCAGAGAGAGGAAGCAGGGGUCAGGGCUUUGUGCCACUGGGUUUCUAAAGGAGAGAUGUCACAUCUUUAGGAAUUUCUGAUUCUUGCCUUGAAAUGACUGGCCUGGAAAUUUGAUCAGGCUCUUUCUUCUCUCACUCUCUUAAGGGCUACCCUUCUUUGGGAGCCCCAACAAAUGUUAAUUUGUACAGAAUCUAAGAGACUGGUAGAUUGCAAGAUUGGAUUUACUUUUCCCUGUAUGCAUGCUCAUUAUAAUGUAAUUUUGCAAUUUUCACACCAAAGGGUAGAGUCAUAGUCUGUUUUUCCUACCUUUGAUUCUGGGCUGCCCUGUGACUUGCUUUAACUAAUAGAAUGCAGCAGAAGUGAUGGUGUGCCAUUUCCGAGCCUAGCACAAGAGCUCAAGAGGUCUCGUACAUGGCUAUUUCUUCUUGAAACCCUGCCCAGAUACCCUGUGAAUAAGACCAGGGUAGUCUGCUGGAGGAUGAGCAACAAUGUGGAACAGAGGAUCUGUCCUCCUAGGGACUCAGUCUCCUUUUUAAUCAAUGAGGUGCUGUCUGAAAACUGGCUAAAGUCUGGAAACUAUGAAAGGGAUCAAGACCCUUUAUGGGGCUGACACUCCUUAGUCUCCUGGUCAUGCAUCAUUGGUUCUUUUGCAGGUGUAAGCCCACUGAGCUCAGACUCUGCCUCUUACUCAGGUUCAAAACCCCAGUGGACACUUUUCAGUUCUUACGUAAUGAGAUGAAAAACUGAUUUUGUAACAACUGUCAGUGGAAUUCCUUGUAGGAAAGAAUUUGUCUUUGCACGGUAUAGUUGGCAGAAUAAUGCACCCCCUGCCAAGAUGUCCACAUCCUAAUGCCAGAAACUGUGAAUAUGAUAUAUUACAAGGCAAGAUGGAAUGAAAAUUGCAGAUGGAAUUAAGGUUGCUAAUCAGCUGACGUUGAGAUGGGGAGGGUAUCCUGGAUUACCUGAGUGGGCCUAAUGUCAUCACAUGGGAAGAAGGGGGUCAGAGUCAGAGAGAGAGAUUUGAAGAUGUCAUGCUGCUGGCUUUGAAGAUGGAAGAAAGGGCCACAAUCUAAGGACUGAAGGCAGUCACCAGAAGCUGAAAAGGCAAGGGAACAGAUGCUCUCCUAAAGCCUCUAGAAGGAACGCAGUCCUGCUGACAACGUGAUUUUAGCCCAGGGAGACCCAUCUCAGACUCUGGCCUCCAGAAUUAUGAGAUAAUAAAUUUGUAUCGUUUUAAGUCACUGAGUUUGUGGCAAUAUGUUAUAGCAGCAAUAAGAAUCAUGGGGAUGCCUGGGAAAACACUUUGAGACAGAGCUUGGGGCAGAAGAUAAGGAAGAAUGAAUGGGGAAAUUUGGACGCAGAGACAGACAUACGUAGAGAGAAGAUGCAUAGACGUGGAGAUGUGGAGAGACUGCACAGAGGGAAGAGACGUCCAUCUACAAGCCAAGGAGAGGUGCAUGGAACGGAUCCUUCCCCCACAGCUCUCACAAGGAACCCACCCUGCUGACUGACACCUUGAUUUCGAACUGGCCUCCAGAAUUGUGAGGCAAUCAAUUUUUGGUGUUUAAGCCGCCCAGGCUGUGGUACUUUGUUAUGGCAGCUGUAGCACGGUAACACAAGCCAGAAACCUGAGCGUAUGUAUUCACUUCCAGAAACUUGUGCUCUCUCCUGGGAAGCUGAGCUUCUCCAUCACAAACCUUAGAUGAGAAGGUGGGCCCUUCUCGGCCCCUUCUUGUUUGUGAUGGAGGUUUAGUAUCAAAGAUCCCACCUCUCUUGGCUGCACCUACAGCACCAAGAGGAAAACGUGAAAAUGCAUCAGGCCCACCCGGGGGUGGGAAGGUGGAAGAAGGUCAGUGAAGAGUGACCUAUUACAAUGUCGACUUUCUGAGAAGAGGAAUUAAAGGUACGUAAUCUCAUUUUCUCCAGAGACAAGUAAUGAUUAUAGGGCCCCAACUUCUGGAAAGUAAGAGGCUUUUGCGAAUGUCUACAGAGAUAAAUAAAGUUAAAGAACAGGUUAUAAAUGGGGCCUGUGCUUGGGGACUGUGACUCAGUGACACAGGUUGUGUCUGUCACUCUAACUAGAUUCUCGCAGCACAGCCCUCCCUCAUUUGUGUGAUUUCUUCACGUUCCCAGCAUCGCUCUGCCCCAACGGCUCUGAAAGAUCGAGCCUAGGAAGAGAAAGGAAGAAGAGGUUUUCUCCUCUUUCUGACUCAAUUUGGAAAGACACAUAUUAAUGAAAGAAAGUUUACAAAAUGCACUCUUAAGUGUUUACAAGUGAUGAAUUUUUUUUCCCCUCUGUGGAAUGGUUUCAUUUAUUUAAUAGAAUCCUUUAUUGAUGCCUGAUGCUGACCUGACCUAGCGAGCUUGGCCAUACAGUGACUUUCAGUGCUGCCAUCUCACUGUGACCCUUGUUGGCAAGUCAUGUUCAAAGUGUCAGAGAGAGGUUCAUUUCCAUUCGUGCAAGCCCCCAAUUCAUCACCUGUUGUUUACUUUGCUUAGGUAAAUGCACUGGGGACAAAUAACAGUGUCUUAAGUUGAAGCUAUGGGUGGGUAAUUGUGCUGGGAAAUACUAAAUUAUAAACACUUAAAUUAGGAGUCUAGAUGUGUCUUCAUAGAAAGUAUCUUAUGCCUCCUGGGUACAAUGUGGGGACGAUGAGAUGGGCCAGAAAGAAAGAUGAGAGUGAGAUCUAAGUGUAUGCAUUUGGGAGGAGUGGCAGCCACUGGACUCUGGAUUUGUAGGGGACAAGGAUGAUAGGCAGGGUGCUCCAGGGGUCUAGACAGGAUAAAUUACACUGCAUAGCAAUGGUCUUGGAGAAGGAAGGUUAAAAUGAAUAGCAAGGGCAGCCCCAAAGGGAAGGAACCAGGCAGGCAGUGCUAGGAACCGUAUCAUAUGUUUCCAAAGCACUAGGUUUAGGCUCACCUGUGCGGAUGAUGAUAUGAAUAGGUCUGAUACAGGGGGACCUUCCAUCCCAAGCUCUUAAGAACAUGGAAGUCAGUUUACCCUUACAUGUUCAGAAUGAUAAAGCACAUUUUUCUGGGUGAUGUGACAUUUGGCAAGGGACAAGAGGUCAGGGCAGACAUGCAUUUUCUGCCACGCACUCCCAGAUGGGUAGCUCCAUGCAGGAGUCAGUGUAUGCUUAUGGUGUUAUAAGACAGAGCUGUUAUGGGUGGGACUGGCUGGGGUUCCCCCUGACAGGCUGCAGGGCUAACCACUUGCAGAAAGUGCUCAACUGGAACUCUGAAGGUCCCCCCGUUUCCCUGGGCUGUUUAUUCAUUUACCACAGAGUAUUGGAAAAGUCAGGAACCUCUGUGUCUCACUUUACUCAUCCGUAGAAAAGGAAAUAAUAAUAUUCACUCCACUUGUCUCCUGGCAUAAAUAUGAACAUCAAACUUUGAAAUGGUUUAAAGACGGUUUUUAAAAUUGUUUUUAGAGGUAUAGAAGGAAAGAAGGAAGGAAGGAGGAAAGGAGGGAAGGAGAGAGGAAGGAAGAAAGAGUCAUUUGAAUCUCAUCUUUAUUCUGUGUUGAGAUUUCUGAAUUAAUUUAGUGAAAGUUGAGUGCCCUGCAGGGAAUACAGUCAGAAACUCUCCAAAUCUGUUUCUUGGUACUUAUGUUAGAAAAAUGUUGAGGAGCACAGUCACCAAACUUAUAUUCUGCAUGAAAAACUCGAAAUUCCAGUCUCUGGAAACUUAAUUCCUCUACGUGUCUUAACUUUUGUUGUUGCUGCUGUUGUCGUCUGCAGCCAUCUUUAAACGAUUGGGAUUCUCUUUAAAACUGCAGAACUGUGCAAUAUCCUUUAACCAUCAGGUCCUAACCACAAAACCCAUCACAAAGCGUGGCAGAGCAGAUCAGCAGUAAGAGGAUAUCUUUGAAAGACUAAGAUGAACAUUAAAUUAAUCAACCGAUGCUCUGGGGGGAAAUGGCCACUAAUUUCAAAUUUUUCAUCUCUGGAAAAUCAAUUAUUAUUAUGUUUAUUGAUGUUGUAUUUGUCACUAUUUUCAGCCAUUUCCCCUGAUGACAUGGGUUAAAAUAGGAACAUUGUUAUAAAAGAGAUUAGACAUGUUCGAUUCCGUUUCUAGACUUUCCACCUCUCAGCUACCUGGGGUUUGGGAGAGAAAUAAACUGCCAUAGGGCAAAGGCUGAGCUUGCCCUUUGUUCCUUUCUAUGGCCAUCCCUUUUGCCUCUCUAAGAUUUUAAAUAUUUAGUUAAACACCAGCUAAUGCUUUUUACUCUCCGGGCAGGAUUUUGGAGACGUGUGUAUAAAGUCAACACUCCCUUUGCAGUUAGGUUGACUGGGUUGGAAUUUGUUACCUUACCCCCAAAGGACUCUGAAGACCUUCUACCACAGUAUGGCGUGGAGCUUCCCAAUGUCUGUGGCACACAGGCUUCCUACAGAUGGGCUUGAUCCCGAAAAUGGCCCUGAUGCACAUGCAAGCCGGUUAAUGCCAGCCUAUGCCCAUGGUUCCUAACCUAAUGAUCCAUUCCCUGUUGAAUGGCUCUUGUCCUUUUUGGACCACUUGGUGAUUUAGAAUUCUCACAGCAGUGAGCAAGACAGGUUUGUCAGCAAAAUAACAAAAUGCUGAUCAUUUUCCCAUUUGGUUGUAUAUAUUUGCACAUGCAAAUGUGCAAAAUUACAGUCAUAUAUGUGGUCUAUAUAGAGCAGUAGAAGAAUGAUUCUAGAAUCACAGUCUGUGCUCCACUAGCUGGGAGAAAUUGGUAAUAAAAUAUAUAUACUUCUAAUAUAUGCCAAGCAUUAUGCAAAGCAUUCUGAGAAAAAAGAGAGAUGAACUGGAUCAGACUCUGCCCUCAAAGAGAACACAGUGUAGUAAGCACAUUAUAUUGUUAAAUUUUAGAUUUGUACAUACACAUUUGUUAAUGUGCCCCAAAUCAAAAUAUAGUGGGAACAAUUUCUAAAUAAAGCACUCAGACAACAAGUGCAUUAAUAAACCCUAUAUUGGCUUUAGGUAUUUAAAAAUAAUAUCUUCUUGCUGUAACACAUUUAAACAAAGUGGAAGCUUAUAAAAUAAUAUAAUAAGAAUAAAAUUCCUCUUCCUCCCCCAGUCUUGCUCCCCAGUGGCGGCUCUAGGUUAACUAUUUGCUAUGUGUUCUUCCUAAAUUUUUGUUUGCCUAUAAAAUGUAAACAUAAAGCACAUAUAUGGUGGAUAUCUUUGUAUGCCACCACCUCAUUCUUUCCAAGGUCUGUCUAAUGUUCCAUAUCUUGGAUGCACCAGAAUUUAUUUAACAUUACCUUAUUAGGGGACACUUAGGUUAUUGCUAGGGUUUUUUUUUUUUUUGUAUUAAUCUAAAUGGAUUGUGAAUAAGCAAGAACUUGUUAUAGGAGGAAUAUUAACAUUGUAAGUGGUAUAUAAGCAAUGUUCUGUAGUUGACCCUUAAAGCUUUCAAUAAAGGAACAAUGUAAUCAAGGGCAUAUAUUAGAAGGGUUCAAGGUAGAGUCUGAAUUGGAUUGGAGAACGACUUAAAGCAAGGAAGACCAGUAGGCUAUUCAUGCAAUUGUCUAGAGGAGAGAUGCUGAAGAUUUGAAUUAAGGCUGUGGUAGUGAUAAAGGAGAGGAAUGAUUCUAUCUUCUAUUAACUGGAAGAAAUUGGUAGUGAAGGAGAAGAUAUUAAUUUCUAAUUACAAUUAAAUCAAAACUUUAAUCAACUCUUGAUUUUCUGGUUGUGAGACAGCUAUGGCUAAGGCACAGAAGACAGCUGGAACAUGCUUGUAGUGAGCUGAUGAAUACUGAAUGUCUACUUUGGGGAUUGGUCAAGUCUUGGAGUGAAUACCACCUGGGAUGGAGGCAGAAGGUUGAAACAGGAUGUCCAAACACAGUUAUGGUCUCUCUUCCCUGCUGACAUUGAAGGCAGCUCUUCUGCAUUUUGGGUUCUUUCUGCCCAGCAUGGUAGUCAGCCAACAGAGAGUGCUCCCACUUAACUGGAGAGGUAAAGGAGACUCAGCUCACGGCUCAGCCUUACCCUUGUUUAAUCCAACCUCAAAUAGUCAAGAUUUGACCCUUUUUAGGCCAUAGAAUUGACAGGAGCUGAUGACUGGUUAGAUAUAGGAAUAAAGGAGAGUCAACGAUGGUUAUGGCCAGCCCUGGUGAUCUAGCGGUUAAGAUUCCGUACUCUCACCACCGUGGCCUGGUUUUGUUUCCUGGCCAAGGAACUACACCAUGCAUCUGUUGGUUGUCAUACUACGGUGGCUACAUGCUGCUAUGAUGCUGAAAACUAUGUCACUGGCAUUUCAAACACCAGCAGUGUCACCAUGGUGGACAGGUUUCGGUGGAGUUUCCAGAUGAAGACAGACUAGGAAGAAGGAUCUGGCCACCCACUUCUGAAAAAAUUGGCCAUGAAAACUCUAUGAUUAGCAGUGGAACAUUGUCUGAUGUAGCACCAAAAGGUGAGAGGAUGGUGCAAAAAGACCAGAUGGGAUUCAGCUCUUCUGUACACAGGGUCUCUAGGAGUUGGAAUUGACUCAAUGGCACUAACGACAACAAAAAGAAGAUUAUGAGAGUUCAAUCCCAAACGAAUGGGUAUAUUAUGGUGACAUUAACUGAGAGAACGUAGAAAAGGAAACAGAUUAUUUUUUUGGUGGAAUCUGUGGGGAAGGGAUGUAUUUAAAUUUUUUAAAUGCAAGAUGGAAGACGUACAAUUGGAAACUGAAAAUUUUGUGUUGGAACCCUGUAGAGAGUUCUGUCAGAAACACCAUCACAUGAGUGAGGGUUGACUCUAUGAAAAAUGAACUUUCCACUAGAAAAGCUGUGAAGAAAGUUAGUGAAUAGCAGUAUGUGGUUAUGGGUAGAAGAAAGAGUGGUCAGAAAGACUUAUCCAAAAAGCCAGGAGAUGAUGCAAUUUCAGAAGGACAGUGUGCUUUCCAGCAUUAAAUGCUGCACAGGGAAUGACAGGACAAUGCUGAGAAGAAGCCAUCGGAUCUGUUGACAAAACAUGAUUGGUGCCAUUUGGAGCACAGUUCCAGGGGCAGAGCCAGAGUGGCAGUGUGGUAUGUGUCUCUCCAAUUUUUUCAUUGUGGCUAUAGAACUAAAAUUUGUUAUACAUGGUGAUGGUGAUAAAAUGCUCAUUUUUUUCCAUUGAAGGAAUUUUUCUUGUGGUUGUUUUUGAGCUGGGCUUUUGGUCUUAUCAUCCUUAGGUUGUUCAUAUCAAUGAAAAAUUAGAAUGUCCUAAAUGUCCAACCACUGGUGGAUUGCUUAAUUAGAUAUGGUCAAUAUUGAAGUAUUAUAUGGUCAGUGCUAUAAUAUUUUCAUGUUUUGCAGAAAGAUAAUAAUAUAUGGAUACAUAGAAAUGGCCAAUCAUUUGUUCAAAUGUAUCCUGCAGCAUCAACCACGUCCCAUCACUGGGAGCCUUGCAGGGUAGAAAAAGCAUAUCCUUCUUUUCUACAACUAUAGUGUUAGAAAAGGGAAAGAUUGGAUCUCCUUAUUUUCCUCAGCCAGAGAUGGAAAGUUCAGUCAUCAAGGUGUGGGAGAUUUCCAGGUGGCUUUGACAAAUGAUUAGAAGGGCUUACAGAAGCUGGACCUGGUUUGUACUGUAAGAAAUGAGCAAGAUUUCUCAUAUGGGCCUGAUGAAAUUCUGUGUGCACACAAGAGGGAAGAUUAGCCCACAGAGAUGCUCUCACCUUUAAGACGGUCAAAUAUUCGAGCUUGAUAACAAAACUUCCAGCCAUCAUACAUCCCUCCAAUGAACUGGCAAUAUUAUAAAAGUCUAAUAACCAUAAAAAACUUAACGAUUCAUCUGUUCUGAGUAGAACACACAGGAGCCUUGUUGGAUUAUAAUGUGCACUUAUUAGAUUUUGAAACCAUUUCAACUAUUCACCAAUUAAUGGCAUUUAAAGGAUAUAUUUACAAAGAUAAUCAGAUUCACAAAUAAGAUUUUUCACUUAGUAGUAAAUUUCAGUGAAAUUCACUUGCUGGUUUCAAAACAUGUUUCUUAGACAUUCUGGUACUAUCGGAUUCUCUAGGAAUAUAAUCGUAUAUUUGAAUCACUGACAAUUAAAUGGGAAGGAGUAUUAGAAACUAUCUAGUAACCCAUUUUUUAGAGGAAAUUGAUGUUCCUAGAGGCAGGAGGUCACAUAACCUGUGGCCAAAAUUCAGCUCUCUUUACUCUCAGUCUAGUGCUCUUCCCAAAGCACAAUAAUGCUUCUUAAAUAGACACAACUGAAUGAUCAUAUAUACCUUAGAGCAUUUUCAGGGUAUUUGAAUAUAGAACCUGCACAAAUGCAUAACGUGGCUCUAGGUAAUUUGGACUUGCUAGACAUUACAAAGUGCUAUUUUUUAAAUCUUCUUUUGGGGACAAAGUAACAUAUAUUCACAGACAAAUAAAUUACUGUGAAAUAACUUAAGGUUAUGUGUUUCUCUAUUCAGAAAGAAGGUGUAUGCCCUGGGGAAAUGAAAGAGACUCACAGCCCCUCUGCAAACCUGCAUCUCGGUAGCCUCUGUGGCUUCCCCACCUCACAGCGAGUUCGUUUCUUCUCCUCCACACCAGGGACAAUCAGUCCACUCUCCCUGUGGGCAGAUAUCUCAUCCCCGUGGGCAGUGUCGUGAAGAGCCUCUAGGCUGACGGAUGCAUUUGGGAACUCAUUCUAAAAUGAAGACGUGAUGGAGUUGAUGGGGAACACAUAGAACCGGGACAAGUCUCUGACUCAAGAAAUCAGUCUGCUGGGAAGGAUUCAUAGCAAUUGUGACUUUUUAAAAGCUGAGCUUGAAUAAUAAUUAUAAAAAGUUAUUGACAUAAUAAAAGAACAAAAGGACUUAUGUGAUGAGCAAUAGUUCCUGGCCUGCCCCUGCCCCUCACCCCCAGUUCUGCCCCUCCUCAUUCCCAAGGGCUUUACCUUUAACUGUUUCUGUUUUUGGUUACCUCUGGUGGUCAAGCCCAUGUUUCUAAAUAAAUACAGCACGCCGCCGUCAGUUCCUAUCGCCCCUUGCCCACCCCUCUUGCCCCUCCCAGUACAGCUGUAUCACUGCUUUUCCCUCUAAUGCUACUAUGGAAACUUCCUCUCUAGAUGAAUGAAAAUAAAACUGAAUCCUAACCUUAUAUUGUAUACGAAGGUGGGCUCCAGAUAAAUCAGAAACCUAAAUAUAAAAGGUAGCACUGUAAAAAUAAUAGAAGAAAAUACAGGAGAAUAUCUUUG
rnacentral:lncRNA from 1 species